rnacentral:lncRNA from 1 species
UAGAUGCGAGAAUUGAGUGGGGUGGGCUUUUGAUGAGAGAGAUUUAUUUUAGGAGAAAGACUAUCUCGAUUCUCUGGAGCCGUGCUUCGAAUUAAGGAUGUCCAAUUUUUUUUUUGACAUCUUAAGUUAGGUGGCUUAAGAGGGUGAUGUAUAGGUUUUUUUUCAUGUUUGUUUUAACGUUGGGGAUGCUUGGGUGGAGG